rnacentral:rRNA from 1 species
CCUACGGGAGGCAGCAGUGGGGAAUAUUGCACAAUGGGGGGAACCCUGAUGCAGCGACGCCGCGUGGGUGAAGGAGUAUUUCGGUAUGUAAAGCGCUAUCAGCAGGGAAGAACAAUGACGGUACGUGAUGAUGAAACACCGGCUAUAUACGUUCCCGCAGCCGAGGUUAUACGUAUGGUGCAAGCGUUAUGCGGAUUUACGGGGUGUAAAGGGUGCGCAGGCGGGGCGUUUAGCUUGGUGUGAAAGCCCUCGGCCUAACCGCGGGACUGCAUUGGGGACUGGCGCGCUGGAGUGCCGGAGAGGUAGGCGGAAUUCCAAGUGUAGCGGUGAAAUGCGUAGAUAUAUGGAGGAACACCAGUGGCGAAGGCGGCCUACUGGACGGUGACUGACGCUGAGGCUCGAAAGCGUGGGGAGCAAACAGGAUUAGAUACCCUUGUAGUC